rnacentral:lncRNA from 1 species
AAAAGAAUAACACAUCAACUCUACUGGGGAUGAAUGACAAUUGCUUGGGGAGAAAACACUAUCAAACAACUGCUUGGGGAAGACAAUAAUGCUUCACACGUCAAGACUUACCGUCCUCAAAUUGUUGUUGACAUUCCUUUUCGAAUUCAAAGUUCUUAAAGUAAAUGCCUUAUUAUUUCAGAAAAAUGUUUAUUCAUUUAUUUAUUUUAUUUCAAAAUUGUCAUCAUAAAAAUACAGUUUUAUUAAACUGAA